UACGUAGGGGGCAAGCGUUGUCCGGAAUCAUUGGGCGUAAAGCGCACGUAGGCGGCCCUGUAAGUCCGUUGUGAAAGUCAAAGGCUCAACCUUUGAAUGCCGAUGGAUACUGCAGGGCUAGAGUCCGGAAGAGGCGAGUGGAAUUCCUGGUGUAGCGGUGGAAUGCGCAGAUAUCAGGAGGAACACCAAUAGCGAAGGCAGCUCGCUGGGACGGUACUGACACUCAUCCGCGAAAGCGUGGGGAGCAAACAGG
rnacentral:rRNA from 1 species